GGAGGAUGAGAAAGGGAGAAGGAGCCAGGGGAGUCCAGGGAGAGGAAGCAAAGGGAGAGGGAGAGACUGAAGAGAGGAACGGCAAAGACUGGAAAAGAUAGCAAGGGGUGAAUCAGGAAGCAGAGAAGGGGAAAUAAAAGGAGAGGAGAAAAUGAAUCCAAAGAGGAUGCCAAAAAGGAGGAAGGAGAGAGGUCUGGUAGAGAGGCAGACCCGGAAAACGAACGUGGGCGAGGAGGUGCUCCAUAUGUCCUGAACCCCCUCUAUGCCCUGAGCCAAAGGGGUGCCUGUAGUCUGACUCCUUGACCCACUCCUCCCCACCUUUAUCCCUGCUGCCUGCUCCCGGUGGACUGAUGCAGGAUGCAGGCUUGGGAGAAUUGAAAGAGAUGACCCACAGGAAAAGCAUCUACCACACGAUAACACGGUGCAGGCUGUUGAUUAGGAAACGCAGCCUCCCUUGAGUUUCUGUGUGGGUGAACCUGGCUCCUGGGGCCCCGGGUGGGGCUGCCAGGCUUCAGAAUCUGCACACUGCUUCACCACCCCCGCAGCCUGUGAUCCCAAGCCAGGCCCUCUGAUCCGGCAGCUGUCAACACAAGCACACUCCAAUGCUUUCUGCUUUGCUGUUGGCCUCCCUCUGGAAGCUUUGAACACUAGUGAGAUCAUCAUUGUCAAACUCUCUGGGCUCUGGUGCAAGGGCAGUCAGAUAAGGAGGAAUAUGACGUGCCAACCCUCCACUUUGGUCCCCGGCCCCCAGCUUCACCUUGCUGACCUCUGGCUCCUGCUUAGCUCAGGAACUGUGGGCUCAGAACAAAGUUUAGGUUCUUCUUCUCUGAUUCACCCCUUUCUCCUUCCUGAUUACUGGCAUGGAGCCACGCACCGCAGGAAAGAAAUCGGGUAACUUUACAGAUGGGAGGAAUGAAAUGGUGCUUGUAGGGGCCUAUGUUGUGCUGGGCACCAAAGUAAACUGCCAGAGGACAGGGACCUUGUCUGCAUGGCCCACAGAACUAUCCUAGGACAGUGCUGGCACAUGUUGAGUUCAUGAAAUGAAUGAGUCAUUUGAUAUUGUGAAUAUGCAUUCACUUAUUCACAUCUUAUGAUUAAAAAAAGCUGUUAUUCCAUUUUAUGGAAAGGGCAACUGAGACACAAAAUCACAGGCAGGAAGUGAUCAAACCAGGGGCUGAAUCCAGAGCAAUCUGUCUCCAAAGCAUGCGUUCCUUCCACUGCAGCCCGUGGCCUCCAGGCAUCCUGCCCGUCAAUGCCUGAGGCACCAGGGAGUCAGGAAUGGCAGAGACUGAAACCCGUGAUUCCUGCUGGACCUUCUCCUUACCUCCUAGAUUCUGGAGCGGGCACCCCACAGAGCACUCCGUUUGAGGUGGCCCAUUCAUUUCUGGGCUCCUUGCCAUUGGCAUUGUCCUCUAGCUCUGGACUUCAAGCUAUGCCUCUCUCAGACCCUCAGCCCCAGCCCGCUGCUCUACUUGGGACUUUGAAGAUGAGGUCAUGUGCCUCAGAACUUCUCUCACCUCAGCUCUCAGGACCCCAGCCCUACCUUCUCUGCCCCCCUCCCCUCUAACCCUCCAGCAACGUGGGCUUCCUCUGGGGACCUCAUGUUCAACCCUGACAAACAGCAGAGCCCAGGGAAAAGAGAACCAGGUUCCGCUCUCCUGCCAUGUACCAGUUAGAUGACUCUGGGCAAUUCUUUUCACCUCUCCAGGUCUCAGGUUUCUCAACUGGAAAAUGGGGAUUUUUAAAAAAAAUUCAUGCCUCACUUCCAAGGCUGUCAUGAGAAUGGAUUAAGGCAAAAGCUGUGAAAGUGCUUUACAAAUGAGAAAGCCUCCUAUUCUUCACUUUCUUCUGAUGGCAGAUCCCCAGCUCUCCUUCCCAAGGUUCUUGCUUUCCUGGCACAAUGUACCCUGAGCACUGCAGGUGCCUGUCCAUCUUCGCUUCAUGAAGAACCAUGAUAUGUCACCAUUUAAAAUCCAAAUAAAGCUUCACGAGUGAAUCUGCUUACGGGAGACAGAAUAAAGCAAUGGCCAAGAGCUCUAGCAAGAGUAAAAAAUCAAGUCUCCAAAUUUUAGCUCUUCCACUUACUAACAGUGUUAACUUUGAACAAUCAUUUUAUUUCUCUAAGCCUCAGUUUCCCCAUCUAUAAAGUGGGAUGAUAAUGAUACCUGUCUUAUCAGGUAGAUAAUGUAUAUGUGGCACUAGGGACACAUUAAAUACCCAAUAAAUGGCUACUAUUGUUAUCUCCUCUUAUUUUAGUCUCUACUCUUGAAAAAUGAAUCAGUUGUCAGACUUCAUAGCUUGUUACCUCUCUCUCCAUGGUCCCAUUGUCAGUUCCUUGGUGCAUAUCCUUGUUUUCUCCUCCUUCAUUGAUGACCACAGCC